AGAGAUGUGUGAUGACGCAUAUCAAUAAGCGGAGGAAAAGAAACUAACAAGGAUUCCCUUAGUAACGGCGAGUGAAGCGGGAAGAGCUCAAAUUUGAAAUCUUCAAGGUUCUACCUUGACGAAUUGUAGUUUAAAGAAGUGUUUUCUGUUAGUGGAGUGGCAAAAGUUCUUUGGAAUAGGACAUCAUAGAGGGUGAGAAUCCCGUAUUUGGUCAUUCCUUCUAGCUUUGUGAUACACUUUCAAAGAGUCGGAUUGUUUGGGAAUGCAGUCCAAAAUGGGUGGUAAAUUUCAUCUAAAGCUAAAUAUUGGCGAGAGACCGAUAGCGAACAAGUACCGUGAGGGAAAGAUGAAAAGAACUUUGAAAAGAGAGUUAAACAGUACGUGAAAUUGUCAAAAGGGAAGCGUUUGACACCAGUGUUGUUUUUCCGAAAAUCAAUUACGAAUGUUUUAUUUUUGAGGAGUUAUGACUUCAUCGGCUUGCUUCUCUCUUUAUGAAACUUUCUUAAUGCACUUUUCGGUUAACAAGUCAACAUCAAUUUCUUUUGUUGUAAAAGAGUAUGAGGAAGGUGACUUUCUUUUCGGAGAAAGUGUUUAUAGCCUUUACCUCUGCAAUCGGAGAGAUUGAGGUCUGCAGCGUAGAUCCUUCGGGGUUAGAUACAUUUGUGCUAAGUUAUAGCUUUUCAUAGACAACUUGUUGACUAUGAUUUAGUCUUGUAGCUUACUCGCUUAUGCUAUUUUACCUACGCUUAGGAUGUUGACAGCAGUAUAGACUGU
rnacentral:rRNA from 1 species